CGGAGCAUGCGGAUUAAUUCGAUGCAACGCGAAGAACCUUACCAAGGCUUGAUAUAUAGAGGAAACGUGCAGAAAUGUACGCCCCAGCAAUGGUCUCUAUACAGGUGGUGCAUGGUUGUCGUCAGCUCGUGUCGUGAGAUGUUGGGUUAAGUCCCGCAACGAGCGCAACCCUCGUCCUAUGUUGCCAGCACGUAAUGGUGGGAACUCAUGGGAGACUGCCGGGGUCAACUCGGAGGAAGGUGGGGAUGACGUCAAAUCAUCAUGCCCCUUAUGUCUUGGGCUUCACGCAUGCUACAAUGGCCGGUACAGAGGGCUGCAAUACCGUAAGGUGGAGCGAAUCCCAAAAAGCCGGUCUCAGUUCGGAUUGAGGUCUGCAACUCGACCUCAUGAAGUCGGAGUCGCUAGUAAUCGCAGAUCAGCAACGCUGCGGUGAAUACGUUCCCGGG
rnacentral:rRNA from 1 species